rnacentral:rRNA from 1 species
UGAGGAAUAUUGGUCAAUGGGCGCAAGCCUGAACCAGCCAUGCCGCGUGCAGGAUGACGGUCCUAUGGAUUGUAAACUGCUUUUGUACGGGAAGAAACACUCCUACGUGUAGGAGCCUGACGGUACCGUAAGAAUAAGGAUCAGCUAACUCCGUG